CUCCUUACUGUACUCUAGACAAGACCUCCGAUUCAGGUUUUCAAUCAAAGAAGGAGUAAUUGUUCGGAAAGAUCGACAUGAAGAUGAAACUUAUCGCGGAAACUCAGCCGGAACCAUCACUGCUUACUACAUAUCUUUCUUCAAAAGGCGAGACAUGGGAUGAGAUCGAUUUCAAGUUCUUGGGUAAUGUUAUCAGACAGCCUUAAGUUCUUCAUACGAAUGUGUUCACAGGAGGCAAAGGUAACUGCGAAAUGCAGUUCUAUCUGUGGUUCGAUCCCACUACGGAUCUCCACACCUACACUGUCCCACUAGAUUUUUCUUGUGGAUGGAAUUCCAAUUUGAGUGUUCAAGAACAACGAGGCUAAUGGUGUGGCUUACCCAAAGAGUCAGCCGAUGAAGAUAUACUGAUCAAGUCUUUGGGAAGCUGAUGAUUGGGCCACACAAGGCCGACGAGUCAAGACCGAUUGGACCACCACUCCAUUCAUCGCUUACUACCGAAGCUUCAACGAUGUUGACUGCUGUAGCCGGACCUAGAUAUUUUGAGACCUUACUAAUGGUCAGUUACAUACU